CGAGAGAUAAGUGAGAAUCCUAUUAGGCCGAAUAUCCAAUGGAUCCAGGUUUAAAGCUGAUCUGCCCUGGGUAAGUCGGGGCCUAAGGCGAGGUCGGAAGACGUAGCCGAUGGACAACAGGUGGAGAUUCCUGUACUGCAUAUGGUCAGAACUGUGGGGACACGGGGUGUUAACGGAAGCCGGGAAAGGAAAGACCGGUCCAAGCGCAGGAGGCGUUGCACAGGCUAAUCCGUGCAAUAAGCCAAAGGCGUGACGGGGAGCGAAAUACAAGUAGCGAAGUCCGGAUACAUGCUGUCAAGAAAAGCCGCUAUUGCGCCAUAUGUACCCGUACCGUAAACCGACACAGGUGGAUGAGGAGAGAAUCCUAAGGCCGGCGGGAGAAGUGUUGUUAAGGAACUCGGCAAAAUGGCCCCGUAACUUCGGGAGAAGGGGCGCCCAGAAAUGGGCCGCAGAGAAAAGGCUCAAGCAACUGUUUAGCAAAAACACAGGUCUAUGCGAAACCGAAAGGUGAGGUAUAUGGGCUGACGCCUGCCCGGUGCUGGAAGGUUAAGGGGAGAGGUUAGCCGCAAGGCGAAGCUUUGAACUUAAGCCCCAGUAAACGGCGGCCGUAACUAUAACGGUCCUAAGGUAGCGAAAUUCCUUGUCGGGUAAGUUCCGACCCGCACGAAAGGCGUAAUGAUUUGAGCACUGUCUCGACAACACACCCGGUGAAAUUGAAAUACCAGUGAAGAUGCUGGUUACCUGCGCCAGGACGGAAAGACCCCAUGGAGCUUUACUCUAGUUUGAUACUGGGACCCGGUAUGACAUGUACAGGAUAGGUGGGAGGCUGAGAAUUAAUGACGCCAGUCAUUAAGGAGCCGCUGUUGGGAUACCACCCUUGUGAUGCCAGGUUUCUAACGAGCUGCCGUGAACCGGCAGGCGGACAAUGUCAGGCGGGGAGUUUGACUGGGACGGUCGCCUCCGAAAGGGUAUCGGAGGCGCUCAAAGGUUCCCUCAGAAUGGUUGGAAACCAUUCGGAGAGUGCAAAGGCAGAAGGGAGCCUGACUGCGACACCGACGGGUGGAGCAGGUACGAAAGUAGGACUUAGUGAUCCGGUGGUAUAAAGUGGGAUUGCCAUCGCUCAACGGAUAAAAGCUACCCUGGGGAUAACAGGCUUAUCACUCCCAAGAGUUCACAUCGACGGAGUGGUUUGGCACCUCGAUGUCGGCUCAUCGCAUCCUGGGGCUGGAGUAGGUCCCAAGGGUUGGGCUGUUCGCCCAUUAAAGCGGUACGCGAGCUGGGUUCAGAACGUCGUGAGACAGUUCGGUCCCUAUCCGGCGCGGGCGUAAGAGAUUUGAGAGGAGCUGUCCUUAGUACGAGAGGACCGGGAUGGACGGACCACUGGUGUAUCUGUUGCACCACCAGGUGCACGGCAGAGUAGCCAAGUCCGGACGGGAUAAACGCUGAAGGCAUCUAAGCGUGAAGCCCCCCUCAAGAUGAGAUCUCUCAUUCGAAAGAAGUAAGACCCCUUGAAGACGACGAGGUAGAUAGGGCAGGGGUGGAAGGGCAGCAAUGUCCGUAGCUGACUGUUACUAAUCGGUCGAGGGCUUGACCAA
rnacentral:rRNA from 1 species